rnacentral:rRNA from 1 species
CAGUAGCCACGGUAAUACGGAGGGAGCUAGCGUUGUUCGGAAUUACUGGGCGUAAAGCGCGCGUAGGCGGUUACUCAAGUCAGAGGUGAAAGCCCGGGGCUCAACCCCGGAACUGCCUUUGAAACUAGGUGACUAGAAUCUUGGAGAGGUCAGUGGAAUUCCGAGUGUAGAGGUGAAAUUCGUAGAUAUUCGGAAGAACACCAGUGGCGAAGGCGACUGACUGGACAAGUAUUGACGCUGAGGUGCGAAAGCGUGGGGAGCAAACAGGAUUAGAUACCCCUGUAGUCCCUGUCUCUUAUAA